rnacentral:rRNA from 1 species
UUUUAGAGGAAGUAAAAGUCGUAACAAGGUUUCCGUAGGUGAACCUGCGGAAGGAUCAUUAUUGAAUAAAUCUGAUGUGGCUGUUAGCUGGCUUUUCGAAGCAUGUGCUCGUCCGUCAUCUUUAUAUCUCCACCUGUGCACAUUUUGUAGUCUUGGAUACCUCUCGAGGCAACUCGGAUUUAAGGAUCGCGUUGGCUUUCCUUUCAUUUCCAAGACUAUGUUUUUAUAUACACCAAAGUAUGUUUAAAGAAUGUCAUCAAUAGGAACUUGUUUCCUAUAAAAACUAUACAACUUUCAGCAACGGAUCUCUUGGCUCUCGCAUCGAUGAAGAACGCAGCGAAAUGCGAUAAGUAAUGUGAAUUGCAGAAUUCAGUGAAUCAUCGAAUCUUUGAACGCACCUUGCGCUCCUUGGUAUUCCGAGGAGCAUGCCUGUUUGAGUGUCAUUAAAUUCUCAACCUUCCAGCUUUUAUUAGCUUGGUUAGGCUUGGAUGUGGGGGUUGCAGGCUUCAUUAUUGAGGUCAGCUCUCCUUAAAUACAUUAGCGGAACUUUUGUGGACCGUCUAUUGGUGUGAUAAUUAUCUACGCCGUGGAUGUGAAGCAGCUUUAUGAAGUUCAGCUUCUAAUCGUCCAUUGACUUG